ensembl:ncRNA M153.8 ncRNA
UUUUCAUUUUGCUCUCCUUGCGGAAGUCGGGCCCCCGAGACGAUUGCCCUUCAAACCCCCUGUACAAUGUUUGCCGCCCGCCUGUUGUGCUCUCGACACGGUUUAACGCGAGCUUUCCGACCACGCUUGACAACUUUUUGGCGGCAAACGGAUUGGAUGCGC